GGCUUAUAUAGGACCGACAAGCAUAAAAUGGUGGAAAUGAGAUCGCGAAACUGGAAGUUGCAUCCCGGAACCGGAAGUGGCAAAGCGGAACCCGGAAAUGCAUGCCUGACAAAACCGGUACAUCUGCUGUGUGUAGCUGUGUCAAACUCACUAUUUUCUGGCCUUUUUGGAUGUCUCUUUAAGAAACUUUCUGAAGCUGCGAGGUCGUGACGAGCAUGGCAAGUACAAACCCUCCCACACGAAGAACAAGAAGACUCGAGCAGCUGCCGAGUUCUAAUUUUGAAGUUUGCAGAACUGUAUCUUUUAGAGAGCAGUGUUCAAGAUGUGAAGACAAGCAAAAGUGCUAUAUCCUUGGAUAGAACAGAGAUUGCAUGUGCACUGCUGACAUAUCGAGGUAAGUUUAGGGACAUUCAGUAGUAAAUGUAGUAGAUUACAAAAGUAACACACACACACACACAACCCUUUAGCCACUACUAUAACAGGACUGGUGCUGGAUUGAGUGUACUGGUCAUACUGGGGGAAAUUCCCGCCACACUAAGGCAUGGAGGAGAAAUCUCAGACUAGUACGCAAGUCUCAGUAUAAAUCUCAGACUAGUACACAAGUCUCAGCAUAAA